CCUACGGGUGGCAGCAGUGAGGACUAUUGGUCAAUGGCCGAGAGGCUGAACCAGCCAAGUCGCGUGAGGGAUGACGGCCCUACGGGUUGUAAACCUCUUUUGUCGGGGAGCAAAGAGAGUCACGUGUGGCUCAUUGAGAGUACACGAAGAAAAAGCCUCGGCUAACUCCGUGCCAGCAGCCGCGGUAAUACGGAGGAUUCGAGCUUUAUUCGGAUUUAUUGGGUUUAACGGGUGCGCAGGCGGAGGUGCAAGUCAGUGGUCAAAUUGCGGGGCUCAACCCCGUACUGCCGUUGAAACUGCAUCCCUUGAGUGCGCGAGAAGUAUGAGGAAUGCGUGGUGGAGCGGUGAAAUGCAUAGAUAUCACGCAGAACUCCGAUUGCGAAGGCAGCAUACCGGCGCGCAACUGACGCUCAUGCACGAAAGCGUGGGUAUCGAACAGGAUUAGAUACCCGAGUAGUC
rnacentral:rRNA from 1 species